rnacentral:misc_RNA from 1 species
GAUAAAGAACGUAGCGAAAUGCGAUAAGUAAUGUGAAUUGCAGAAUUCAGUGAAUCAUCGAAUCUUUGAACGCACAUUGCGCCCGCCAGUAUUCUGGCGGGCAUGCCUGUUCGAGCGUCAUUUCAACCCUCAAGCCCCCGGGCUUGGUGUUGGGGAUCGGCGUGCCCUCGCGGCGCGCCGUCCCCUAAAUCUAGUGGCGGUCUCGCUGUAGCUUCCUCUGCGUAGUAGCAACACUCGCACUGGAUCGCAGCGCGGCCACGCCGUUAAACCCCCCACUUCUGAAAGUUUGACCUCGGAUCAGGUAGGAAUACCCGCUGAACUUAAGCAUAUCAAUAAGCGGAGGA